rnacentral:rRNA from 1 species
GGGGGGGGGGGGGGGGGGGGGGGGGGGGGGGGGGGCGGGGGGAGGGGACAGCGGAAGCUUGGUUUGGGUGGGCGUCGACCGGCGCGCGGGGGGGUGACGCGUAGCCAGGCUGCCCAGCACUUGGGGAUAAGCGUGCGCAAGUAAGACUAAUACCCAAUGAUAUCUCUAGAAGACAUCUGAAAGCGAGUAAAGAUUUAUCGGUGAUGGACGGGGAUGCGUCUGAUUAGCUUGUGGGCGGGGUACCGUCCCAACAAGGCAACGAUCAGUAGGGGUUCUGAGAGGAAGGUCCCCCACAUUGGAACUGAGACACGGUCCAAACUCCUACGGGAGGCAGCAGUGAGGAAUAUUGGUCAAUGGGAGAGAGCCUGAACCAGCCAAGUAGCGUGCAGGAAGACGGCCCUAUGGGUUGUAAACUGCUUUUAUAAGGGAAUAAAGUGAGAGUCGUGACUCUUUUUGUAUGUACCUUAUGAAUAAGGACCGGCUAAUUCCGUG